AGUAAAAUGGCUGAGGUAUAAGCGAUAAAUUGUAAAUUUAUAGACGAAAAAAAAAUUCUUUUACUA
rnacentral:tRNA from 1 species